rnacentral:rRNA from 1 species
CAGCUCUUCAAGUGGUCGGGAAUAUUAUUGGGCUUAAAGUGUCCGUAGCCGGUUUGGUAAGUUCCUGGUUAAAUCUGGCAGCUUAACUGUCAGUCAGCUAGGAAUACUACUUUACUAGAGGGUGGGAAAGGUUUGAGGUACUCCAGGGGUAGCGGUGAAAUGCGAUAAUCCUUGGGGGACCACCAGUGGCGAAGGCGUCAGACUGGAACACGCCUGACGGUGAGGGACGAAAGCCAGGGGAGCGAACGGGAUUAGAUACCCGUGUAGUCC